rnacentral:rRNA from 1 species
ACACUGCAUGGUGUGUUGGGAAAGCCUUUGCGGCAUGGGAUGGGGUCGCGUCCUAUCAGCUUGAUGGCGGGGUAACGGCCCACCAUGGCUUCGACGGGUAGCCGGCCUGAGAGGGCGACCGGCCACAUUGGGACUGAGAUACGGCCCAGACUCCUACGGGAGGCAGCAGUGGGGAAUAUUGCACAAUGGGCGCAAGCCUGAUGCAGCGACGCCGCGUGAGGGAUGGAGGCCUUCGGGUUGUAAACCUCUUUUGUUAGGGAGCAAGGCAUUUUGUGUUGAGUGUACCUUUCGAAUAAGCACCGGCUAACUACGUGCCAGCAGCCGCGGUAAUACGUAGGGUGCAAGCGUUAUCCGGAAUUAUUGGGCGUAAAGGGCUCGUAGGCGGUUCGUCGCGUCCGGUGUGAAAGUCCAUCGCUUAACGGUGGAUCCGCGCCGGGUACGGGCGGGCUUGAGUGCGGUAGGGGAGACUGGAAUUCCCGGUGUAACGGUGGAAUGUGUAGAUAUCGGAAAAGAAACACCA